AAUAUUGGACAAUGGGCGAAAGCCUGAUCCAGCCAUGCCGCGUGUGUGAAGAAGGUCUUCGGUUUGUAAAGCACGUGAAGUUGGGAGGAAGGGUCGUAGGUUAAUAGCCUGCAAUUUUGACGUUACCAACAGAAUAAGCACCGGCUAACUUCGUGCCAGCAGCCGCGGUAAUACGAAGGGUGCAAGCGUUAAUCGGAAUUACUGGGCGUAAAGCGCGCGUAGGUGGUUCGUUAAGUUGGAAGUGAAAGCACCGGGCUUAACCUGGGAACGGCUUUCAAAACUGGCAAGCUAGAGUAUGGCAGAGGGUGGUGGAAUUUCCUGUGUAGCGGUGAAAUGCGUAGAUAUAGGAAGGAACAUCAGUGGCGAAGGCGACUACCUGGACUGAUACUGACACUGAGGUGCGAAAGCGUGGGGAGCAAACAGG
rnacentral:rRNA from 1 species